CUCAGAACUGAAAGUUCAAGCCACGCUGAGUCCAAUGGUGGCGGUGGUGACCUCCCACGCGCGGCGAGGACGGCGGAUCGAAGCUCCAAAAAUCCGAAACUUUCCGGUGGUCGUUUGGCGAUAAUCCGGCCGUUUCAGGUGACGAGGUUGGUCGGAAAAUGAUGCUGGUGACGUGAGGAGUAGAACCCAGCUAGAAGUGAGCCCAAACUCCGGCGAAAUCGACGGCGGCGAAAAAGGGUUUGGCCGCGAGUUUUCGAGCUCAAAUCGCCGGCGUUCUGGUCGGUUUCCGGCAACGAGGAUGGCAUGGAUACGUUGCUCGUCUCUCAACCUUCGAAUCGGUACCAAGCACGGCCGGUAAGGUGGCCGGAAACGGGAGAACUCGUCGGGUCAAAGUUGCGGGUUCCGGGUCGGAUCCGGCUCAAACUCGGGUCAACUCUAUCUCUCUCUCUCUCCCGCGUGCUCCUCUCUCUCAUUCCUUCUCUCUCUCCCAUUUUGAAAACCAGCUUCCUCCUUUUAUAUGGAACCCGAAUUCUUUUUCUUUCUCUUUUAUUUUUCCCACUUAAGCUUCAUACAAAUUAAACUUAUACCGAUCCCGUGACGUAAAUAAAAUUUGACUACUCGAGCUUAUAAUCGCGCUCAAUUUAUAUAAGUGGUGAAUCAAAAAUAAUCGGGUGCGGGGUAUUACAAACUUCCCCCCUUCAAAGAAUUUCGUCCUCGAAAUUCACUUGUAGUCAUGCUCAUAGAAUCUAAACCUCAAGAAUUACUUAUGAUCUAUAAAUCCUUAUAAAGAUCAAAACCAAUCAUAUCACACUUUCGCUGCGCUACUCUGAUACCUCAAAAAUAUAUAAUCGCAAAUACAAAUAUAAACCGCUAACUGCAGCGGAAGAAUUUAAAAUUCAUGCCAAACCAUCUAAUUCCUCCAUUCAAGUCCUUCUCGAUGCUCAUCACGAAUCAAUCCUGAUUUACGGAAAUUGAAUCACAAUAAACUAUAAUGCGUACGAAAUUCAGUAAGUAAACCAGCUUUGCAUAUACCAAAAUACAUACAUACAUAUAUACAGUGCACAUGAAUGACGUGCCAUGGUAUUCGAAAACAUCGUAAAACAAAUCAUCGAAAUCUCAUUCUGUCUUUCUCAAACUUUUACAUUCUCUUUCAAACCACUUACUUGAGCUACCUUCAUUCGAUUACCGCUUAGUAGGACACUCUCUUAAUUUUCAUAACUUUCAUACUCUUUGGGCUUCUCGCCAAUGCGUCCUUCGCCCACUUAUCUCAUAACUAUAUCUAGAGUAUCCUCCACUAAGCCAGUAACGAAUUCAAGCAUCCAAGCUAAAACUGUAAAACAAUCUUUCUUUCUUCAAAUUUCUUUUGCUAAAAUCGACUUUCUCAUUUUACAGAAAUUAUAAUACAUUUUCGUGCUCAUGCCAAUGAAAUAUUCACACAUUCGUAUGCCCAUGUUCAUAAAUACACAUAACAAUAUAUCAUAUCAACACAUUACAUAAACACAUGGGCAGAACAUAUAAAUCAAUAUCCGUACAUAUAUCAAAAUAGACUUUUCAAACAUGUCAAACAUAUAUAUUGUUUAUUGUGAUUCGUUUAGAAAUCUAGUUUACUUACCUCCUGGUAAACCAAUCCUUGAAUAACCAAUGCACACCGAUAUCAUCGGCCUAAAAAUAAAUAAAAAUACUCUCAUAAGAAUAAAAUUAAACCAUAAUCAUAAACUCCAAUAUUCUUAAAUUCCUCAAUAUAAUCACAUUCCAUACUUAACCUCAAAUAAUCUUAAUUAAAAUCAUACACCAUCAAAAUACUCAUAAUUCUUGAAAUUAGCUGCAUCUUCUCAUUGAUAUCCUGAACUAAUUCGAAACCAAAUAAUCUCUACUCACCAAUCUCAUCCGAUCAACAUAUUGGAGUUUUACAUUUCCUGCCAUAUAAAACCUCAGACGAUGUCCUUUUGAUUGAUAUUGUAAGCUAACUCCAUCAAAGGUAAAUAAAUGUUCCAACUACCCUCAAACUCGAAAACACGAGUUCGCAACAGAUUCUCCAAUGUCUGAAUAGUACGCUAUGAUUGCCCAUCAAUUCGAGGAUGAAAAGCUGUACUCAAAUCCAACUUGGUGCCUAAAGAUUUCUGCAAGCUAGCCCAGAACUCGUAAGUGAACUGAGAAUCCUUAUAUGAGACAAUAAAUACAGGUACUCCAUAAAAUCAAAUUAUUUCAGCCAUGUAAAUACUUCUUAACUUGUCCAUACUGAUGUGUUCCCACUUUCACUCAUGCAAAAAAAAAAACACCUGCGAUAACUCAGCAGGCCUCGGAUACUCAGCCUUAAUCUGCUGACAAACAUUAUACUAUCUCUCUCUUCGUCCGCUGUCACAAGUAAUGAUCUCUCAAGGUACAGUACAUCUGCUGGAGUCAACCCAGCUACUAGUCUAAUACGGCCACGAUCACAUCUACGACUACGAUAAAUCCUGAUGGCAUCCUCAAAAUAUCAAUUCCGACUUUAAUGACAAUAAAACUUAUUCUAUUUACGACAGUAAAGUCUACAGAAUCUAAAACCAUGCUCUGAUACCAACUGAAACGACCCGCCCCGCACUCCCCAGGACGAGUCUAUCUAAACUCGUAAAAUUAAAUCAAUCUGCUUAAGAAUUCUAUAAAAAUUUCGGCAACAUCUCCCUUAUAAAUAAAACAUAUCCAACCCUGCAAAUGACAAAAUAAUACUCCCGAAAUAAUUUAAUAACCAAACAUCUUCCAUAACCAACUUCUUAAAUCAACUUAUCAAAUAUCACCAAAAUCAUCCGUAUAUUAAAAUACAACGAUUAUCCUUAAUAACAUAAAAUAAUAACACAAAUCCCAAAUAUAAUAAUAAAAAUCCACGACUUCUAGCACCAUCACGUGACCAUAAUAUCAAACUAACGUUCGCUACUGGGUUGACUGAUGUACCUGUAAAUCUCCUGAGGGGGGGGGGGGAAAUAUAAUAAAAACGGGAUGAGUAUAAAACUCAGUAAGCUCAGUGAGUGGAUAUUAGUUUUUGACAAAUAAAUAAAUCUAUUUAAAAUGAUUCAAUCUUUCUCAAAUCAAUUUCAUCAAAAUAUCAUAAGAACUUACAUAAACUUAUUUAAUUUAUUUAAUUCAAAUGAAUCACUGAAAUACUAUAUUACAUAAAUCUGCAUAAAAUCGAUGGAAACAUAAUACUUAUCAUAUCAAAUACUGACUACCAAAACUAUCAUAAAACAAGUACCCAGGGAAAUAAUCUCGUCAUAUCCGGACCUCAACGGACGGGCAAUGACGUACUAUCUGGGUAACGUCACGCCCCGGAGCUACACUGUAUCACUGUAUCUCAAUAUCUGUAUCACUGUAAUAAUCAUACCGCAUGCAUAUGCCCCCAAAAGGCAAAAGCGCCCAAACACACGGCCCAAAGCCUCUAUGUGUGUUCAAACGGGCCCCAAAGGCCUCUCAUCUCAUAUCAUUUGUAUCACUGUAUCUGGAGGGGAAGGGUACUGUCUAAUGAUUUCAAAAACAACAUUUAUACACAUGUACAUAAACAUAUAAUCACAUCUGAAAUCUCAUUUUCUUUCUAUUCAACAUAUCUCAAAUCUGCUCAAUUCUAAUAUCAUGCCUUUACAAAAAAAACGAUAGUAAAAUCAUUAAUCAAACUCAUUCUCAAUAACAAUAAAUAUCAACACAUAAAUAAAAAUCAAUUUUCAAAAAAAUCAUUAAAUCGAAGCAUCAAAUACUUAUUUAUCAAAACAUACUGCACUGUAUCAUAAAAUCAUCAUGUACUUUAAAAAUAGGUUUUGUAUAUUCCACUCACAGUGACAAUGUCCAAGCUCGGUGUCGACAAUGUCCGCGGGUUAAUUCUCGUUCGCGAAUCCUCCUAAUCAAGAAAACGACAUAAUCAUUCUCCGUAAAUUGAAAUACAUCCAAUUAAUAUCAUAAAUCUCGAAACAAAUAUCUAUUAACGAUAAACUAUUCCGGCAUGAGUAAAAUUACCAAAAUGCCCCUACAUGCCAAAAUUACCAAAAUACCCCCCAACAUCAAUAUUUUACCAACUUAUCCUCAAACAUCAUUAUUGUACCAAAUUAUCCUCAUAAUCGUCAAUUACCAAAUUGUCCUCAAUUCAGGUUACAUAAAUAACCAAAAUGUCAAAAAUUACGAAAUUACCAUCCGCACGUAAAAUUACCAAAAUGUCCUUAUCGACUUAAAUUACCGAAUUACUAUCGUAAUCUCAAAUUACCUCACUGCCCUAAUUUAAAAUUACCAAUUUGUCCAAUGAUUCCAUAAAUUACAAAUUCACCCUCAAGUUUUAUGAAUUACCGAAUUGCCCUUGAAUUCAAUAUUACCAAAAUACCCUCAUAUCAAAAUUAUCAAAUUAACCUCAAAACCAUAAAUUACCAACUUAUCCUCAAUUACAGAAAUUACCAAAAUAUCCACAACAUCUGAAAUUACAAAAUUGUCCUUAGACUGUGAAAUUACCGAAAUGCCCUUGCCGGUCAACGGUCACCGGAAUUCAUCCGAUGGCGACGGGAAGCUCAGAACUGAAAGUUCAAGCCACGCUGAGUCCAAUGGUGGCGGUGGUGACCUCCCACGCGCGGCGAGGACGGCGGAUCGAAGCUCCAAAAAUCCGAAACUUUCCGGUGGUCGUUUGGCGAUAAUCCGGCCGUUUCAGGUGACGAGGUUGGUCGGAAAAUGAUGCUGGUGACGUGAGGAGUAGAACCCAGCUAGAAGUGAGCCCAAACUCCGGCGAAAUCGACGGCGGCGAAAAAGGGUUUGGCCGCGAGUUUUCGAGCUCAAAUCGCCGGCGUUCUGGUCGGUUUCCGGCAACGAGGAUGGCAUGGAUACGUUGCUCGUCUCUCAACCUUCGAAUCGGUACCAAGCACGGCCGGUAAGGUGGCCGGAAACGGGAGAACUCGUCGGGUCAAAGUUGCGGGUUCCGGGUCGGAUCCGGCUCAAACUCGGGUCAACUCUAUCUCUCUCUCUCUCCCGCGUGCUCCUCUCUCUCAUUCCUUCUCUCUCUCCC
rnacentral:lncRNA from 1 species